rnacentral:rRNA from 1 species
AAUCAACGCUGGCGGCGUGCCUCAGACAUGCAAGUCGAACGCGAAAGUCCCCUUCGGGGGACAAGUAGAGUGGCGCACGGGUGAGUAACACGUAGGUAAUCUACCUUUGGAUGGGGAAUAACAACCGGAAACGGUUGCUAAUACCGCAUAAUGCAGCGGCACCUAAUGGUGACAGUUGUUAAAGCGGGGGAUCGAAAGACCUCGCGUCUGAAGAGGAGCCUGCGGCGGAUUAGCUAGNGGUAAGGUAAUGGCUUACCAAGGCUACGAUCCGUAACCGGCCUGAGAGGGCGGUCGGUCACACUGACACUGACAUACGGGUCAGACUCCUACGGGAGGCAGCAGUCGGGAAUUUUGGGCAAUGGGCGAAAGCCUGACCCAGCAACGCCGCGUGAAGGAUGAAAUCCCUCGGGAUGUAAACUUCGCAAGAACGGGAAGAAUAAGCGAGAGUUAAUA